UACGGAGGGUGCGAGCGUUGUUCGGAAUUACUGGGCGUAAAGCGCGUGCAGGCGGCCAACUAAGUCCGGUGUGAAAUCCCUGGGCUCAACCCAGGAACUGCGUCCGAUACUGGUUGGCUUGAAUCCGGGAGAGGGAUGUGGAAUUCCAGGUGUAGCGGUGAAAUGCGUAGAUAUCUGGAGGAACACCGGUGGCGAAGGCGACAUCCUGGACCGGUAUUGACGCUGAGGCGCGAAAGCCAGGGGAGCAAACGGG
rnacentral:rRNA from 1 species